GAGCGGCGAUGGACGGAUUCACCAGAGGUGGCAGCAACAGGCCAGCUUUGCUCUCCAGUCCCUUGCUUGGAAACUGCUAGGUGGCUUCCCAUCGGCUUCCUUUCAGCGGGCACAGGCAAGCAGAGGGGUGAAAGGUCAUAAAUAUGGCGCUUGCUUCCCGUCUGCUACUCAGUCCGCUGUUUUCUGGGUCCUUUCCCUGCGGGCUUAUCCGACUCCGGGCACCCGGUGUGGCCGAAGUGAGGCUGCGGUUGGCCGGGUUUUGUUACUUCUGCAGCCGCCGCCUUGGCUCCGGAGUGGCGCCGUUUCCUCGCAGCACUUGCAACUUGGAGGCCCUGGUGCUGCCUUCUCGGGGCCGCCGGCGACCCCUGCUCAGCUCCCCGAGACUCCCCGCAGCCCUCGCUGCUUACCCUGUUUGCUCUCGGCGCGACUACAGCACGGAGGAGCAGCCCCAGCAACGCCAGAAAACCAAGAUGAUAAUUCUGGGAUUCUCCAACCCCAUCAACUGGGUUCGGACUCGAAUUUAUGCAUUCCUUAUCUGGGCCUAUUUCGACAAGGAGUUCAGCAUCGCAGAAUUCUCUGAGGGGGCGAAGCAGGCUUUUGCUCAUGUAUCCAAGUUGUUGUCACAGUGUAAAUUUGAUCUAUUGGAAGAACUUGUGGCCAAAGAGGUGCUUCAUGUAUUAAAAGAAAAGGUUUCUUCACUACCUGAUAACCAUAAAAAUGCUCUUGCUGCUGACAUAGAUGAAAUUGUCUAUACAUCAACUGGAGACAUCUCCAUUUACUAUGAUGAGAAAGGAAGGAAGUUCGUUAACAUCCUGAUGUGCUUUUGGUAUCUAACCAGUGCCACCAUCCCCAGUGAAACUUUGAGUGGAGCCAGUGUAUUCCAGGUUAAAUUGGGGGAUCAGAACGUGGAAACUAAACAGCUUCUUAGUGCAAGCUAUGAAUUUCAGAGGGAGUUUACACAAGGAGUAAAGCCUGACUGGACCAUUGCACGGAUUGAACACUCAAAGUUACUAGAAUAAUCUUUCUUGGAAAAAAUCAGCUUAUGGACUUUUAGCAACUGCUAUAAAGAACUAAGGAAGAAAAAAUUUGGAUCUGAUCUUCACUUAAUCAAUUCUGGAGACCAGAAGUCCAAAAUGGGUCAAAUAGGAUAAGACUCUCUGCUGGCUAGAGGGAACUCAGAUUAAUUCCCCAAAUUAUAGGAUUUCUCUUUUUGCUUGACUUCAUAGAGUCUCAUCAUAUACCUCAGUUUAAUUAUAACUAAAUAUUAUAAAAUGAUGAUAAGAAUAACUAAAUGUUCUCAUUAUCAUCAUUUUAAACUAUGGGACAAUUGUGUGUUUCUAAAAAAUAAGGACAUCAUCUAUAAAUUCAUAAGAAGCUGUUAUUAAUGUAUUCCAUAAUGUGAUCUAAUUUUUAAACUAUAUUUAAAGUUCCACUGAUUGUCUUUAAAAUUAUUGUUAAGUAUCAAUAUCCAUUUUAAGUUUACAUAUUGCAUUUGUUUAUUAUGUCUUUUCCAUCCUUUUUAAAAAUUUAGAAUGUCUCCCAUCCUUUUUUAUGACAUUGCAAUUUUGAGGAGUAUAGAGUAGUAGACAUACAAUAAGUUUCAUUUCCUGAAUGUGUUUGAUUAUUUUAUUGUGGCAUCAUUUCUUUAUGCUGUAAGUUAGAGCUAAAGCUUAUUUAAAUACAGAUUAAAAUUUUUUGGUAAGAUUAUCUUAUAAAUUAUUUGUGUACUUUAAAUUAUAUAACAUUAGUUGGUAUAUAAUUUCUCAUUGUCCCAUGGUUUAAGAUGAUGAUAAUGAGAACACUUAGUUAUAAAAGUCAUUAAUAAGUAAUCUGUGAGGUGAUGCUCUGUUAUGGUUUGGAUAUGAAGUUUCCUCCAAAAGCUCCUACUAAUGCAGGAAUAUUCAGAGGUAAAAUAAUUAGAUAUUAGAUUAUACAGAGUUGUAAUCAGUCAAUCCUAGAUUGAAUGGAAUGACUGGGUGUUAACUGGACAGGUAGUCAUGACUAGAAGUGGAUUCCUGGGGAUAUGCCCUGGAAGGGUGCAUCUUCCUGGUGGCCCUUUCCCCCUCGUCUCUCUAUCUCUACUUCCUGGCAGCUUCCCUCCACCAUGCCCUUCUGCCAAGAUGUGCUGCGUCAUCUUGGUCCAGAUCAAUGGAGCCUGCCAUCUAUAGACUGAGACUUCUUAUAUCAUGAGCCAAAAUAAACUUUUCCUUCUCUUAAGUUAUUUUUGCUGGGUAUUUUGGUCACAGUGACACAAAAAUUAACUACUAAAACAGAUAACAUCAAUAUUCUGCUUAGAAGCAACUUUUUGCAAAGUAUGGUAGGCUGAAGGACCCACACCCCAUUCCACAUCCUAAUCACUGAAACUGUGAAUAUGUAGUCUUAAAUGGAAAAACAGGACUUUGCAGGUAUGAUUCAAUUAAUAAUCCUGUGAUCGGGAGGUUAUUCUGGAUUAUUUGGGUAGGCACAACGUGAACACAAGUGUCCUCAUAAGGAACAGGAAGGUCAGAGUUAGAAGUACACGUCAUGAUGAAAGUAGAGGUUGGAAGGACAUGGGGCUAUGAGAUUGAAGAAUGUGGACAGAUGUAGAAACUAAAAAAGAUGAGAAACAGAUUUUCCCUAGAGUCACUUAAAAAAAUGUAGGCAUGUUCAUCCAUUUUGGACUUCUGGUCUCCAGAACUGCAAAAUAAUAAAUCUAUGUGUGGUCAGCCAUUAAGUUUGCAACAUCAGCAAAAAGAAAUUGACAUACAAGAUGUCAAUUCAUCCUUGUAUGAAUCAGUGUUACAAUAUACAUUGUAAAAUUAUGAUUCUUUUAUUCUGUGCCACCUUCUAUUGACCUUCUUCUAUAAAACAGAGCCCUACUCUUUUUCUUAAGUAUCACUACAAAUUUGUGAACUUUUAUUCAUUUGACAUAAUAUCAGUUACAGUUAUUUGUGCUGGUGCUUAAAUAUUUUCCAGUUUUGACAGUGGGAGCCCCUGUAACCUGUCCUCACAGCAGAUUGAAGACUCCUGUGACCUGAUGUUAAUCUUUAAGUACUGUCUUUUCUGGCAUAAAAACAUAUCCUAGAAUAUUUCUCAUCUAUUUCUCCAAGGAGUGAUGGUUUCUUGAAUGUGUUGAGUAUGGUGAAGGUUCAAAAUCAAGAUUUGUUCAUCUUGAGGAGUAUUCAUAUUCUAAGUAUGAAAGGGAAUAUUCAUGCUUAUGUCUAUUUGAUAUUGGAAUCAGUUAUCUAAAAAAAUUCUGGGAAUGUGAAAUGUGGUCUGUUUGUCUUUAUUUCUGAAAUAAAUAAUCCCUUUCCCAUUA